UACAGAGGUCUCAAGCGUUGUUCGGAUUCAUUGGGCGUAAAGGGUGUGUAGGUGGCGCGCUAAGUCGGGUGUGAAAUUUCGGAGCUUAACUCCGAAACUGCAUUCGAUACUGGCGUGCUUGAGGACUGGAGAGGAGACUAGAAUUCAUGGUGUAGCAGUGAAAUGCGUAGAGAUCAUGAGGAAGACCAGUGGCGAAGGCGGGUCUCUGGACAGUUCCUGACACUGAGACACGAAGGCCAGGGGAGCAAACGGG
rnacentral:rRNA from 1 species